CCACCUGCCUGUCUCUGUUUUCAUCGUCUGUCCUUCAUGUGCAUCACCGGGUGGCCUUUGCCGGAGCUUAGGACCCACUAGGGACAGGUAAAUAAACCCUGUGUGAUCGCAUACU